rnacentral:rRNA from 1 species
UACGGAGGGUGCAAGCGUUAUCCGGAUUUACUGGGUUUAAAGGGUGCGUAGGCGGCCUAUUAAGUCAGGGGUGAAAGACGGUAGCUUAACUAUCGCAGUGCCUUUGAUACUGAUGGGCUUGAAUAUACUUGAGGUAGGCGGAAUGUGACAAGUAGCGGUGAAAUGCAUAGAUAUGUCACAGAACACCAAUUGCGAAGGCAGCUUACUAAAGUAUGAUUGACGCUGAGGCACGAAAGCGUGGGGAUCAAACAGG